AACAUGGCCUGUCCUCAGCCAGCUGGAGGCAGGACUCAUGGACCCGAAACAUGGCCUCAGCUAUAAUACUCCGCGCGCACUUCGCUGGGAAUCACUUCCUGGACUUCUGGUGUGGAUAAUGGCAGCUGUUGGUUCUGCCUCUGGAAAUGGACAGCUCUUUCCCACAAAUUGCUUAUCAUGUAACCACAGUACUCCAGCUAUGCAGAAAGGCCUUGUGUGGUCUGUGACCAACCCCACUCCGUGAGCCCCGUCAUCACAGGACUUGAGACAGCAACAACACUUAGAAGAUGGCCAGUAUAUCCUGCUGAUGCAUAGAGGUUCAUGUCUGUCCUGCCCUGAUGCUAAUGAUAAUUAAGAACUAUUUUGUGCUUUACAGUACCUUCUCUCAUCAACUGUAGCAUCUAACCCUUUCCAAAAGAAAGCUGAGGAAUACACUUAUGUCGUGUCCUACAGAUAUAUCUUCAGCUCAAUAAAUUAGCCAA